AAAGUUUGGUCAGGUCUAGCUCCAAGCCUGCUACUGUUUAUCUGGGUGACAAUAAAAAUACUCUUAUUUUCUUUACACUUAUGGAUAUAUAUAAGGCUAUCUAGGAAUACGUGUGUUUUGUAGGGAUCAGAAAUAUAGGAACUUUAGAGUUGACACACGUGGGGUGUGACCUGCUCCAGGGACAGCAGCAGGUGAGGAGUUUGGCUUGGAACACCCGCAGGUGUUCUAAGGAGAGCUCAGGGAGGGUGGAAGCCUCUUGCAGAGCAGCAGAAGGGCAAAAGCUCACUUGAUCUCAGUUCUCAGUACAAAUACAGACCAUGAAAGCAGGGCCUCACAGUCCUCCUGGCUUUUGGGGUUUUAAGCAAAAGCUGUCAGAAAAGUUAUCCCAGGGACAAUUGGCUUGUGGUGGCCAAGUGUUCAUGGUGAUGUCACUUCUUGAUCCUUCAAUGGUGGCUCUUCCUGUCACUGUGAAGCAGAAUUCACCAGGUCUUGGAUUGUUCACCCACCAAUAGGGAAUGUGAGCUGGGAUUAGACUGUCAUGAGACAGGUUUUAC
rnacentral:ncRNA from 1 species